GCCGGUCCUCGGUAGUGGCUUACGGGAGAGUCCCGUUGGCUUCGAUCGAAGACCGGC
rfam:Amycolatopsis methanolica 239, complete genome.